UACGGGGGGGGCAAGCGUUGUUCGGAAUUACUGGGCGUAAAGGGCUCGUAGGUGGCCAACUAAGUCAGACGUGAAAUCCCCAGGCUCAACUUGGGAACUGCGUCUGAUACUGGAUGGCUUGAAUUCGGGAGAGGGAUGCAGAAUUCCAGGUGUAGCGGUGAAAUGCGCAGAUAUCAGGAGGAACACCGGUGGCGAAGGCGGGUCUCUGGGCCGAUACUGACGUGAGGAGCGAAAGCGUGGGGAGCGAACAGG
rnacentral:rRNA from 1 species